rnacentral:rRNA from 1 species
GACGAACGCUGGCGGCGUGCUUAACACAUGCAAGUCGAGCGAUGAAGCACCUUCGGGUGUGGAUUAGCGGCGAACGGGUGAGGAACACGUGAGGAAUCUGCCUUUCACUUCGGGAUAACUCCGGGAAACCGGGGCUAAUACCGGAUAUUUUCAACUGGCGGCAUCGCCGGUUGAAGAAAGUUUUUCGGUGAAAGAUGACCUCGCGGCCUAUCAGCUUGUUGGUGAGGUAAUGGCUCACCAAGGCGACGACGGGUAGCCGGCCUGAGAGGGCGACCGGCCACACUGGGACUGAGACACGGGCCAGACUCCUACGGGAGGCAGCAGUGGGGAAUAUUGGGCAAUGGAGGAAACUCUGACUCAGCGACGCCGCGUGAGGGAUGAAGGCCUUCGGGUUGUAAACCUCUUUCAGCAGGGAAUAAGCGAAAGUGAAGGUACCUGCAGAAGAAGCACCGGCUAACUAUGUGCCAGCCGCCGCAGUAA